AGUGAACGCUGGCGGUAGGCCUAACACAUGCAAGUCGAACGGCAGCACAGUAAGAGCUUGCUCUUACGGGUGGCGAGUGGCGGACGGGUGAGGAAUACAUCGGCAUCUACUUUUUCGUGGGGGAUAACGUAGGGCAACUUACGCUACUACCGCAUACGAUCUACGGGUGAAAGCAGGGGAUCUUCGCACUUUGCGUGUCUCAUUGAGCCGAUGUCGGAUUAGCUAGUUGGCGGGGUAAAGGCCCACCAAGGCAACGAUCCGUAGCUGGUCUGAGAGGAUGAUCGGCCACACUGGAACUGAGACACGGUCCAGACUCCUACGGGAGGCAGCAGUGGGGAAUAUUGGGCAAUGGGCGCAAGCCUGAUCGAGCCAUACCGCGUGAGUGAAGAAGGCCUUCGGAUUGUAAAGCCCUGUUGUUGGGAAAGAAAAUCAGCAGGUUAAAACCCCGCUAUUCUGACGGUACCCAAAGAGUAAGCACCGGCUAACUUCGUG
rnacentral:rRNA from 1 species